UACGUAGGGGGCAAGCGUUGUCCGGAUUUAUUGGGUUUAAAGGGUGCGUAGGCGGCUUUGUAAGUCAGUGGUGAAAUAUGGCAGCUCAACUGUCAAGGUGCCAUUGAUACUGCGGAGCUUGAGUACAGAUGAGGUAGGCGGAAUUGACGGUGUAGCGGUGAAAUGCUUAGAUAUCGUCAAGAACACCUAUAGCGAAGGCAGCUUACUGGGCUGUAACUGACGCUGAGGCACGAAAGUGUGGGGAUCAAACAGG
rnacentral:rRNA from 1 species